ACAGAAUUUUCCUUUCUGCGUUAAGGGCAAAGAUCUCACAGAUGUGACCAGAGAACCAUUUAUAUCUCCGGCAUUCUCUCCAGAGGGUAACCAAUCUUCCUGAUCUUACUGGAGUCCUUAAAACCCCAGCUGCUCUGAGGAGACCGGGCCAAACAAGGAAGAAGAAUUGGAAGAUGCUGGAAAGCAAAGACCACGUCUGCCAAACGGUGUAGCCGGAGCUGCAAUGUGUGAAGCAUGUCAUGUGAAGCAUGUCAGAAACCAGCGCUCAGCUCUGACUCGGGUGGGCACUUGCAGACCAAGUCUGGAUCCCAGAACUUGGAUUUACUUACUACGUCUUCCUCCCCAGACUGAAGUAUGAGGAAGAUUGCCAAAGAAGAGCCUCCCCUGGGAAAACAUCCAGGCAGUGCAUUCCGGCAAACCCCAUGGACUCUCCAUUUCACAGCCAGGAAAAUAACGGAGUCUCCA
rnacentral:lncRNA from 1 species